GACACAGAAGGUGACAAGGGGGGGACAGCGCGAGGACACCUCCGCCUCGUCCCCGCCGGGGUUUGGGCUGUGGUGGGAGGGCGUCACCCUUUUGGGGACCCUUCACCCUUUGGGGACAGCGUCACCCCUUUGGGGACAGUGCCACCCUUUGGGGACCCUUCACCCUUCUGGGGUUGGCGUCACCCUUUUGGGGACCCUUCGCCCUUUUGGGGGCCAGGCGCCACCCACCUCCUCGAGCAGCUCGAGCCCCCCGCGGGGCAGGGGGCCGGCGUGGCGCAGCUGCUCCAGCAGCCCCUCCAUGGCCUCCAGGCGGGCGCAGUGACGCCGGUGCCGCUGCUGCAGCACCUUCACCUUGCGCUGCAGCACCAGCACCACGCCCAGCAGCUCCCCGGUGCUCAGCUCGCCCCGCGCCGCCUCCGCC
rnacentral:lncRNA from 1 species